UCUUCAAUAUGAGACAUAUCCCAUGAGUUAAAGGAAAAUAUAGUUAAUUCCAACAGAGUCAAUCUCAAGUAUAUAAAUAUUAUUAAGGACAUAUAUGAGAGGGCUGUCACAAGUGUAAAGAUAGUGGGAAGGGACACAGAUGAGUUUCCCUUAACAGUAAGUUUAGAUGAGUGUGUAACCUAUAGGAUCAAUAUAGGAUGGAUGAAAUGGAAAGUGCGACAGAUGUAUUAUUUGACUAUAAGAUCUUUAACAAAGUGAAAGGUAAGUUCUAUUAGGACUGUGGUUUGGCCAACUUGGCCAACUAUGUUGUAUGAGAAUGAAUAUUGGGCAUUUAAAGUAUAACAUACCCACAAAAUAGGUGUGCAGAAAUGCAAAUAUUAAAAUAGAUGUCUAGGGAGAUCAUAAUGAAUAAUAUUAUGAAUGAUCACAUCCAUCAGAGAAUGCAUGCAAC
rnacentral:misc_RNA from 1 species